CUCCAUUGAAGAGAAGAAACGCGCAGUCUUCUCCCUACGGUUUGGUUACAGUAAUCCUUGCAUAACCAGCAGUUACCACAAGAGGACACAAUACUUUCCAAGACCAGAAAAAACACUGAAAAAUAGUCAUAACCUGCCACAAGCACAAAGUAAAAUGCUAUGGGUAAAAGUACGACACCACACAUGAAACAUCAGGGAAGAGAAAGGAGAAAGUAGGAAGAGUUUAAGUUCCCUGCUGUGAGAAAUCUCUACUUCUAGUGACGCACCAUUAUUAAGAGCCAGCCAAGUGUGAACUUCAUUUGUGUCUGGAGAAGCAGCUGAAAGAGACACAGAAUACAUAAAUAUCCAGCCACAACUUACAUCAAGAGCAGUAUUCUAAUAAUUGUCUCUAAAUGUGUGCACAUUCACACACAUAGGCACAUGCGCACACACACAAUGUACAUGUGUUAGAUAUAAAAGUUCUUUAAUAUGUUACAAAUAUCAAAAAAUUAAAAUUCUAAAAUAUAUGAAACG